rnacentral:lncRNA from 1 species
UCCUUAAGGUGGCUCGGGCCUAUUCGAAGUUUCUAUCAGAAGUGCCGUAUUUUUUGUUAUUUUAUUCUUUACAGAAAGUGUAUCAAAUUGAUCGAAAAAAAAUAGGGGGUCACGAACCAUUUAAGAUCAAAGUUUUACUUUUAAACAGGUAUGUAAAAGGGACCAUUUUUCAAUAAUGACAUGAUAGGGAAAAUAGAGGUGUUGACAUAUUUUUAUCGGAAUAUCAAAAAAACGUUCUUUGACACUUGGUCCAAAACUGUAAUAUAAAAAGCGGAACUAUAGCUUCAUAGAAUGAGCAAAUAAAAAACAUAGGUCACCGAUAAGGAAAAAAAAAUAUUUUGCCUUAAAACCAAAUUUUGGCGGGAAAAUGAUGAAAAUGGGUGAAAUUUUAUUUUGACCCUUUAACAAAUACGGAUAAUAACGAAAAUAUUCUAUUAGUCACAUAACUACAAUGAUUAACAUUUCUAAUCAAUAAAAAUAUUUAAAAAAAAUUAUAUCGAAUCUACGACAAAUACUUUUGUAAUUCAUGCGUGAAAUUAUGCGUAGUCGAAUAGUCCCGAGCCACCUUAA